UACGGGAGGGGCAAGCGUUGCUCGGAAUUACUGGGCGUAAAGGGAGCGUAGGCGGAUAGUUUAGUCAGAGGUGAAAGCCCAGGGCUCAACCUUGGAAUUUCCUUUGAUACUGGCUAUCUUGAGUGUGGGAGAGGUUAGCGGAACUCCGAGUGUAGAGGUGAAAUUCGUAGAUAUUCGGAAGAACACCAGUGGCGAAGGCGGCUAACUGGCCCAUUACUGACGCUGAGGCUCGAAAGCGUGGGGAGCAAACAGG
rnacentral:rRNA from 1 species